rnacentral:lncRNA from 1 species
CACAGACAUUAACAACUAUAGGUCACGGUACGGUCUUCAACAAUGAGCAAAGCCCAUACCGCAUAGUCAGCUAUAAAAGGCCGCGAUAAGACAAUGUAAAACAAUUCAAACGAGAAAACUAACGGCCUUAUGUAAAAAAAAAAAAAAAAAAAAAUGAACGAAAAACAAAUAUGUAACACAUAAACAAACGACAACCACUGAAUUACAGGCUCCUGACUUGGGACAGGCACAUACAUAAAU